AAGUCACUUCACGGCUCUGUCACUCAGUUUCUCUGCCUGUAAAACAAGGAUAAUGAUGCUUCCUUUGUAAAGCACUUUUGUAGAAAAG